rnacentral:rRNA from 1 species
GAUGAACGCUGGCGGCGUGCCUAAUACAUGCAAGUCGAGCGAACAGACGAGGGGCUUGCUCCUCUGACGUUAGCGGCGGACGGGUGAGUAACACGUGGAUAACCUACCUAUAAGACUGGGAUAACUUCGGGAAACCGGAGCUAAUACCGGAUAAUAUAUUGAACCGCAUGGUUCAAUAGUGAAAGACGGUUUUGCUGUCACUUAUAGAUGGAUCCGCGCCGCAUUAGCUAGUUGGUAAGGUAACGGCUUACCAAGGCGACGAUGCGUAGCCGACCUGAGAGGCUGAUCGGCCACACUGGAACUGAGACACGGUCCAGACUCCUACGGGAGGCAGCAGUAGGGAAUCUUCCGCAAUGGGCGAAAGCCUGACGGAGCAACGCCGCGUGAGUGAUGAAGGUCUUCGGAUCGUAAAACUCUGUUAUUAGGGAAGAACAAAUGUGUAAGUAACUAUGCACGUCUUGACGGUACCUAAUCAGAAAGCCACGGCUAACUACGUG